rnacentral:rRNA from 1 species
UACGAAGGGGGCAAGCGUUGUUCGGAAUUACUGGGCGUAAAGGGCGCGUAGGCGGUGCUCUAAGUCAGGCGUGAAAGCCCUGGGCUCAACCCGGGAAUUGCGCUUGAUACUGGGGCGCUUGAAUCCAGGAGAGGUUGGUGGAAUUCCCAGUGUAGAGGUGAAAUUCGUAGAGAUUGGGAAGAACACCGGUGGCGAAGGCGGCCAACUGGACUGGUAUUGACGCUGAGGCGCGAAAGCGUGGGGAGCAAACAGG